rnacentral:rRNA from 1 species
CAGUCGAGCGAGUCUGCCUUGAAGAUCGGAGUGCUUGCACUCUGUGAAACAAGAUACAGGCUAGCGGCGGACGGGUGAGUAACACGUGGGUAACCUGCCCAAGAGAUCGGGAUAACACCUGGAAACAGAUGCUAAUACCGGAUAACAACAGAUGAUGCCUAUCAACUGUUUAAAAGAUGGUUCUGCUAUCACUCUUGGAUGGACCUGCGGUGCAUUAGCUAGUUGGUGGGGUAACGGCCUACCAAGGCGAUGAUGCAUAGCCGAGUUGAGAGACUGAUCGGCCACAUUGGGACUGAGACACGGCCCAAACUCCUACGGGAGGCAGCAGUAGGGAAUCUUCCACAAUGGACGCAAGUCUGAUGGAGCAACGCCGCGUGAGUGAAGAAGGGUUUCGGCUCGUAAAGCUCUGUUGUUGGUGAAGAAGGACAGGGGUAGUAACUGACCUUUGUUUGACGGUAAUCAAUUAGAAAGUCACGGCUAACUACGUGCCAGCAGCCGCGGUAAUACGUAGGUGGCAAGCGUUGUCCGGAUUUAUUGGGCGUAAAGCGAGUGCAGGCGGUUCGAUAAGUCUGAUGUGAAAGCCUUCGGCUCAACCGGAGAAUUGCAUCAGAAACUGUCGAGCUUGAGUACAGAAGAGGAGAGUGGAACUCCAUGUGUAGCGGUGAAAUGCGUAGAUAUAUGGAAGAACACCGGUGGCGAAGGCGGCUCUCUGGUCUGUUACUGACGCUGAGGCUCGAAAGCAUGGGUAGCGAACAGGAUUAGAUACCCUGGUAGUCCAUGCCGUANACGAUGAGUGCUAAGUGUUGGGAGGUUUCCGCCUCUCAGUGCUGCAGCUAACGCAU